rnacentral:misc_RNA from 1 species
GUAUUGUAUUGCGUUAAACGCGGCAUACAUUCCAUGAGACUUCAAUACAGAGUGUGUGUAAAGAUAUAGAACCACAGCGGGAGAACAGUGUCCCCCCAGCCACAGAACUACAGAGCGUGCACAGGUGUGAGUGGAUGUGUGAACAGAGCGUGCACAUGCCCCGAUUGAGGGCCAGCAACAACUCGUGUCGACAAUUCGGUAAUGAUCCUUCCGCAGGUUCACCUACGGAAA